rnacentral:tRNA from 1 species
GGGCUCGUAGCUCAGCUGGUUAGAGCGCAUCGUUGACAUCGAUGAGGUCUCCAGUUCAAGUCUGGACGAGCCCA